rnacentral:rRNA from 1 species
ACGUAAUAGAUACCCUGGUAGUCCACGCCCUAAACGAUGUCUACUAGUUGUUGGUGGAGUAAAAUCCAUGAGUAAACGCAGCUAAACGCGUGAAGUAGACCGCCUGGGGAGUACGGUCGCAAGAUUAAAAACUCAAAGGAAUUGACGGGGGCCCGCACAAGCGGUGGAUUAUGUGGAUUAAAUUCGAUGCAACGCGAAAAACCUUACCUGGCCUUGACAUGCCACUAACGAAGCAGAGAUGCAUUAGGUGCCCGUAAGGGAAAGUGGACACAGGUGCUGCAUGGCUGUCGUCAGCUCGUGUCGUGAGAUGUUGGGUUAAGUCCCGCAACGAGCGCAACCCUUGCCAUUAAUUGCCAUCAUUUAGUUGGGCACUUUAAUGGGACUGCCGGUGACAAACCGGAGGAAGGUGGGGAUGACGUCAAGUCCUCAUGGCCCUUAUGGCCAGGGCUUCACACGUAAUACAAUGGUCGGUACAGAGAGUUGCCAACCCGCGAGGGGAGCUAAUCUCAGAAAGCCGAUCGUAGUCCGGAUUGUUCUCUGC